rnacentral:rRNA from 1 species
GACGAACGCUGGCGGCAUGCCUAAUACAUGCAAGUUGAACGAUGAUAUUCUCUGCUUGCAGAGACUUGAAGAGUAGCGAACGGGUGAGUAACACGUGGGGAACCUGCCCAUGAGAGGGGGAUAACAUUCGGAAACGGAUGCUAAUACCGCAUAAUGCUUUGGACCGCCUGGUCCAGAGACGAAAGACGGCUUUUGCUGUCACUCAUGGAUGGCCCCGCGCCGUAUUAGCUAGUUGGUGAGGUAAUGGCUCACCAAAGCUGUGAUACGUAGCCGACCUGAGAGGGUGAUCGGCCACACUGGGACUGAGACACGGCCCAGACUCCUACGGGAGGCAGCAGUAGGGAAUCUUCCACAUUGGGCGAAAGCCUGAUGGAGCAAUGCCGCGUGAAUGAAGAAGGUCUUCGGAUCGUAAAGUUCUGUUAUUAGAGAAGAACAAGUCAAGGAGUAACUGUCUUGACUUUGACGGUACCUAACCAGAAAGUCACGGCUAACUACGUG